rnacentral:rRNA from 1 species
UGGGGAAUAUUGCGCAAUGGGGGAAACCCUGACGCAGCGACGCCGCGUGCGGGAUGAAGGCCUUCGGGUUGUAAACCGCUUUUGAUUGGGAGCAAGCCUUUUGGGUGAGUGUACCUUUCGAAUAAGCGCCGGCUAACUACGUGCCAGCAGCCGCGGUAAUACGUAGGGCGCAAACGUUAUCCGGAAUUAUUGGGCGUAAAGAGCUUGUAGGCGGUUCGUCGCGUCUGGUGUGAAAGCCCAUCGCUUAACGGUGGGUUUGCGCCGGGUACGGGCGGGCUAGAGUGCAGUAGGGGAGACUGGAAUUCCCGGUGUAACGGUGGAAUGUGUAGAUAUCGGGAAGAACACCAAUGGCGAAGGCACGUCGCUGGGCUGUUACUGACGCUGAGAAGCGAAAGCGUGGGGAGCGAACAGG